rnacentral:rRNA from 1 species
UUGAAAGGGAAACGAUUGAAGUCAGUCAUGCCAGUGAAAAUUCAAUUUGAUGGGUUUUUCGUUCACUAGUUGAGAUAGGGUCAAACCGUUUCUCUUUUGGACUUGGAAUUUAUCAGAUGUAUUUUUUCUUUGGCAGGUCAGCAUCGGUUUCGGAGGUUGUAAAAUACUUUGGGGAAAGUAGCUCUGCUUCGGGAGAGUGUUAUAGACCUUGGGGGAUGCAGCCUGUGGGAUCGAGGAUUGCAGCAAAUGCCUUUGGCUUGUCGCCUGAUCUCUAGACGUUACCUCGUUUUCGACAAUAUUCUUGUCGCUGGUGAGUAAUAAUGCCUACCGGGUUAGAGCGAUCAAAAAUUUUGCUAAGGAUGUUGACGUAAUGGCUUUAAACGACCCGUCUUGAAACACGGACCA